UUUAAAAAUUGGUUUGGUGAUCCCAUUUCCCUUCGCUAAAGAUCGAAAAUAAAAGUGCAUUGGUGCAGCUAAACCAUUUUCGAUAAGGCGACUAGACAUUCAUAAAUGCUCCUUUCACAUUUACCAUCUGCUCCAGUAUCUAAUAAUAUAUGAUCAUGCCGAUGGUCUUUUCUUUAUAUGGAAAUGUACUUUUAUCAAAUUUGUUCGUGUCGUUCCGAUCUUCGAACUCACCUCAACUGAACUGUAUGAUUCACUCUUGUCUUGCGUCGUAAAAUAAUAAUAGUUCGAUUAAAAACAAGUUUUUAUAAAGAAAUGAUUAAUUCAUACUAAGUUUAUGAGUGUUACAACAUGUUAAAAUACUAACAGGUUCAACGUGCGUGGACGUACCACGUACUGAUACGAAGGCAUAUCCGAAAGAGUAGCUGCAGCCGGUUCUUUGCCGAAAACCCCAACGGUCAAAAAUUCCACAUGACUUGAAGCAUCUGCUGUUCUGGCAAAUAAACAAACGGCUAGUUUAGGGUCGACUUUUUGAGGAUUGUUACGCCAAAAUGCGGACCCACUUGGGGGCUGACUGAUAAUUUCAAUGCCGGCAAUCUACUCAGCUCUAUUUUUAAUAAUAUGUGAAAAUUGGGUGGGUAAACGGCAACGAAAAACGAACAAAAGUGGGCGUCGGAACUACGCAGUAAGCUCGAAUCGUUAGAAAAGCGUACAGACAUGACAAAGACGAGAUAAUGCUCAGCAGCAAAUCAAAGAGAGAACAUGGAAGAAAAUGGCAACAAGGGUAUAUAAACGGAUCAAUACAGACCCCAUGUCACGUAGAACCCUCUCCAAUAUCGAGAAUGUUCUAGAUGGUAGGGACAAGCGUAUAAAAGCGCGGCCGUUUUGGGAAAACUGUGCAGUUAUUGGUGAGUGCUCUUUUGCUGCGUAUGCUGUUAGUGUCUGAGUGCGCCACGUCAUCAAGCUAAGAGGAUGGGUGAGAGGUGUAUAGUUAGAAAAGCCAGCUGGCGACGCCAUAUCCUAGUCAGGUUUUGAUACAAUCGAAUUUCUAUUGCAUACAUUUACGUUUCUUUAAUAAUUAUUUGCAAAAGUCUGCUUAUAUUGCGUUCCGUUUGCAUCUGGCCAAUGCAAAUGGACGCCAUAUUUACUGUAGUUGCGAAUUCUUCUAGAAUCAUUAGCUACUAAAUUUGCAAAUGCUGUGUUACUCUCCGCAAAACGUACCAAGUUUCUGCAUUAAUUUCAGAGAAUUCCAACAUAUGCCGUUAUAAACAUCGUUCCUAUCCGUAAUCCAAAAUGGCGCCUUAAGAUAGGUAGGGUGCGGUCAUCUAGUCUACAGCGCAAGCGCUAUUGCGCUGCGCAAGACGAAAUCGAUAAUCACUACCGAAGCAGAAUUAAAAAUCCUAUAAUGGCGUAGAGGUUGACGGAAAUAAGUAUGGGUAUGAUUAAUAGUGACUUAAAUAUUUAAAACUUUAGAAAGAAGCCUAUUGCUUCGAUUAGGUCCUUAAAUAGGCCGAUGGCCGACCAUUCUAAGACAUUUUUCUAGAUUUUAUCAACGUUUCGAGCGAGGUCGAAGAAGUUAAUGCAGCGCGGGUUCAUAUUUACUCACUCCGGACUCAUUCCCCCUCUGCUGCCUCUUAAUAUAAAUUUUUUUCUUCAAUCGAUAUAUAAUAUGUGUUUAUAGAAUCUGUGAUGUCCUGGACAUAUAGAGAUCUGUUUAGCAUUAAAACAUACUCAACAUUGCCUACAAUUUAAUAACUAAUUUUAUAUUGAUCGACAUGAUACAAUAAGGUAUCGACUUUGAAAAUAUUCCUGAUAUUUUCGCAGAUAACCUUUGCAGAAUAAAAGUUAUUAAAUUGAAUACAAUUGGGCAUUGCCAUAUGCUUAAGCCACCGUGCUUACCUUUUAGCACGACAAUGCUAAUUCUGUAGCCCCCAUUUAUAUUUUAUCGAAAACAUGGCGUUUGUACAAACUAUGACAUCGUUCGUAAUAAAAACAUUUUUUUAACUAAAACCAA
rnacentral:lncRNA from 1 species